rnacentral:rRNA from 1 species
GAUGAACGCUGGCGGCGUGCCUAAUACAUGCAAGUCGAGCGAACGGACGAGAAGCUUGCUUCUCUGAUGUUAGCGGCGGACGGGUGAGUAACACGUGGAUAACCUACCUAUAAGACUGGGAUAACUUCGGGAAACCGGAGCUAAUACCGGAUAAUAUUUUGAACCGCAUGGUUCAAAAGUGAAAGACGGUCUUGCUGUCACUUAUAGAUGGAUCCGCGCUGCAUUAGCUAGUUGGUAAGGUAACGGCUUACCAAGGCAACGAUGCAUAGCCGACCUGAGAGGGUGGUCGGCCACACUGGAACUGAGACACGGUCCAGACUCCUACGGGAGGCAGCAGUAGGGAAUCUUCCGCAAUGGGCGAAAGCCUGACGGAGCAACGCCGCGUGAGUGAUGAAGGUCUUCGGAUCGUAGAACGCUGUUAUUAGGGGAGAACAUAUGUGUAAGUAACUGUGCACAUCUUGACGGUACCUGAGCAGAAAGCCACGGCUAACUACGUG